AUGGCUCAGGAUGAACGCUAGCUACAGGCUUAACACAUGCAAGUCGAGGGGAAACGAUAGAGAAAGCUUGCUUUUUCUAGGCGUCGACCGGCGCACGGGUGAGUAACGCGUAUCCAACCUGCCCAUCACUUGGGGAUAACCUUGCGAAAGUAAGACUAAUACCCAAUGACGUCUCUAGAAGACAUCUGAAGGAGAUUAAAGAUUUAUCGGUGAUGGAUGGGGAUGCGUCUGAUUAGCUUGUUGGCGGGUAACGGCCCACCAAGGCGACGAUCAGUAGGGGUUCUGAGAGGAAGGUCCCCCACAUUGGAACUGAGACACGGUCCAAACUCCUACGGGAGGCAGCAGUGAGGAAUAUUGGUCAAUGGACGAGAGUCUGAACCAGCCAAGUAGCGUGCAGGAUGACGGCCCUAUGGGUUGUAAACUGCUUUUAUAAGGGAAUAAAGUGGGAGUCGUGACUCUUUUGCAUGUACCUUAUGAAUAAGGACCGGCUAAUUCCGUG
rnacentral:rRNA from 1 species